GGCUCAGAUUCAGGUUAAAUUGCGGAUUGAGCUCGCAGUUACAGACAGCUGACCAUGGAAGCGAAUGGGUUGGGCCUCCAGCGUAGCAUACUGACACCUACCCCCACCCCCACCUGAUCGCCAGACCUCAGGGUUUUCCGGAGCUGAAGAAUGACACAUUCCUGCGAGCAGCCUGGGGAGAGGAAACAGACUACACUCCCGUUUGGUGCAUGCGCCAGGCAGGCCGUUACUUACCAGAGUUUAGGGAAACCCGGGCUGCCCAGGACUUUUUCAGCACGUGUCGCUCUCCUGAGGCCUGCUGUGAACUGACUCUGCAGGUGAGGGGUCCACAAAAGAGGGAAAGAUUUAUGCCUUCAGUCUGCCACCUAGCAACCUGUCUCCUGUUUCCUACAGCCACUGCGUCGAUUCCCUCUGGAUGCUGCCAUCAUUUUCUCCGACAUCCUUGUUGUACCCCAGGUACCCACUCAAACCUGAUCCUAGAAUAUAAUCCAAGGACGCCUUGAAAAUCCUUCUAUCAGUCCAGUCAAGGUUUACAAUAAGCACUUAUCCUAACUGGAUCGAG
rnacentral:sRNA from 1 species